CUUCUCUGGGCCGCGCAGGAAAGUGGGUCACACGAGGAUUGCUCUGGGGAAUUGCUCCCAGUGUUCCUCACUCCUGUCUGCCAUUCCUUGGAGCAGCGCCGACGCCAUCCCCAAGGCUGGCAGGAGAACACAAAGGAAGCACCGAUUCGGUCCUCGGACCUUAGGGUCACUGUAAGCAGGAGGCUGGUGUGGUUUCCAGUCUCAGAGACCCGGUCGCCCCCGGGAACAAUAGCGGCCGCCUGCGGGGGAGGUCGGGCGCUCCGCACAAAGCCGGCUUGGUCCGCGCGGCCACACGACGCGCGCGCUGACCCGGCUGCCGUGCUCGCCGGUGUUCCCGCGUCCACCUGGAACUCUCCGAGAAAGACAAACGCGGUUCCUCCUACUUUAGAGCAAGUCUGGGCCAGCUGGGAGCCGACCAGAAACCGCAAGCGGAGGAGACGCUGGCGCUCCGGGUGAGCGCUAAGGGAGGGGGCGACGCACAGUCCUGCGCCUGCCCAGCAGCGAUGAGGAUAGCAGCGCUCCAGGCACGCCAUAGGGAAGGUCGGGGACAUCUCUGCACGGCACCCAAAGGGAGGGCCACUGCUUAUCCUGAGCUUUAACCCCAGCCCACCAGCACGGACCUGGAACUUCACAGCAAAUCUGCACCCACGCUGUCCCCUGACCCAUUGUGACCCGGCAUUCUCCCUCCUACCCCAGUGACACUCAGAUAGGCUGCUCUAUUCCUAGAAAGGGAAAUCCUCCUUCUGAAGGCAGGGCAAGAACAAUCCCAAUGAAUCAAAGUUUCUUAUUGACCCCAAGUCUGCCUGCAGGCCUCUUCGCGUGGGAGUAAGCAGGUCAAGGUUGCUAGUGAACUUGGAGUAAACUUGAAUUCCAUUUAAAGUUACAAUAGAAGUAUGAACAUAUUUAUUUACAUCACUCUUUCCUGUCUAAUGCAGCAGGAUGACUAUUAAGUAUUUUCACCUCAGCUUUUUGGAAAGUUCAUUUUAGUAGAAUAAAGGAAAGACUGGAAGUUUCUACAGAAAGUCAUGAACCUUGGAACUGUUUGCACCAGGUCCGUUUGGAUGGAGUAGAUGGUGACACUAUACCACUGGCAACUGCUCUCUGUAAAUGACAGGAACUUUGGCCUAGUCCCCCUUGUGUCCUAUUCUCUAGCUGAAAUGCUUCUUUGUUGGAUGAGCUGCAUUACUCAGCCCUCACCAAAGUCCUAGAAUGUCCUUCCUUCUCUCUGUCUUCUUUGUCUUCAUUAUUUUGGGUGGAAAUUAACUUAUUUUGGGGGGAAAAUGUUCUAGUACUAUUUUGCUUCAGACAGACGGUGAGGCAUUUAAGCUUAAUACAAUACCCCAACCCACUGAGCAAUAAAAAUAAAUAAAAAUAAAUAAAUAAAUAAAUGCUAA